UCCCGUGUUGGUGACUUGAACAAUCAAUUUCUUGCCCUGGACGGGUCCUGUCAAGAAAUUAAGCUCGUAGCAGGCACAACACCAGUCCCAUUCACCCUGAUUCGAGAGAUAAGCCUGAAAAAUGGUAUGCAUUACAAUUUAGCAUUUAUCUAUGAGGGUAUUCGUAAUAUGAAAGGUGAGUAAGAAAUCAGAGUUCUACUUACUGCAGCAAACCCAUAAGCCAAGUUAUCAUUGACAGCCCAUGGCUGAUUGUUGUUGCAUGUGUAGGAAGCUAAAAACAUAAAUUAUUUAAAUAUUUUGGGGAUGACAGAAUGUUUCUUAUGCUUGUUUUUAUCUUUCUCGUACGUCCUCCAUUGCACCCACUCUGAGCGUUGACAUCGAUAACUCGUACACCGUCCGCCUCGCAGGUAUCCACAGGUUUAUUCACUGGACCUUUGUCACCCCAACCGCAGGACGGCUAAUGUCAAUUAUUUUGUAAGGAAUAAUAUGCCUCUCAUAAUGGGACAAUUGGUGUACCUUCAUAAUGUUCUGUUUUAAAAGGAUCAAAAACAAGUCAACCAUCCGAUAUCAAUAAAGGUUCUAAUUAAAUUUGGGUUCGGUCGUCAUCUAUUUAUACGAAUUUUCAAGCUGCAUAACCAUUUUCCACAAUAAGGCUGACAUCAAGACGUUUUGAUUGAUCGAUUAUUGAUUAUUGUGCAUGCAUUAUUAUUGUCAAAUGAAAUUAUAAAGCAUGCUGUCACAUACUUCUAAUCAGUGUUUAACAAGGUGUGCCAUUCCAACUACAUAUGUACAGAUACAAUUUCCAUUCGUCGUUGCACCCAAAUUAUACAUACAUACACACGACCAGAGAUACAUAUCUUCCCAAAGAAGAACAAAGUAACAUGCCUCAUCGUGUGCAAAAUUAUAUAUCAAUCAAAACAUCACAAAAUCAGCACAUGCACAAAUAUUUACAAAAACUGUCAUACUUAUCUUGGUCCAACUUAUCUUUAUGAAUAUCUCGUACAUUGUGCAAAUAGGAAUAAAGUCACAUACUUUAUAGUUUCACAAAAUAUUUGUUAGCAAAAAAUGUAAAUUAGUAUCUGAUAAUAACAAUGCUCUUAUUUCUUGAUAAGCGAUAACCUUGAUAACUAAGCUGUCCAAUUAAAGUGUACAUGAUGAACAACUAUUUAUAGAUACUCACAUUGAGUUAAUCGAAACACUACAUAACAAAAAUUGAGAUAAUAAAAAUGAUAGCUUAUUUAGCUGACAUUAAAUAAUAAUCAAUACAAUUAAAGAGUAAUAUAUUUUUGUCCAAAUGACGAGUAAUUCAUAAGUAAAUUAAUAUUUCAUUAUUAUGAAAAAUUGUAUACAUGACAAGUCGCAAUACUUAAGUGUUUUGUCUGUAGUUUGGCGUAAAGUGGAAAUUAAGGAUUACGCUGUUACGAAUGCAUUUCAGAAAAAGGUUUGAGCUUGUUUGGUGCAUAUCAUAAGGAUUGCAAAGAAGGUGACCUCCCCGACUUUCUCGGCAUUGAAUGUAGACCAGAAAAUAACAUACGGAACAAAUCUCUGAGACUGUUCCCACAAGAGCUACGAGAGGUCUUCAAACGACGAGAUGUCUUCAAGGCAAAAUUUACAUGGUUUUGUACCAAACUCCAAUUGAAAAAGGCCUCACAAUAAAAGGGUGUGACUGGGUUCCGGUGGAGUUGGGACUGGUCGAGAAUUGUGCUCCUACUAAAGAAAAUGACCUCAAUGGGAUGCUGUGCCAAUGUAACACGGACUUGUGCAAUGGAUCACAAAAAUUAGUAUCAACUUUUAUUUUCAUAACCGUCCCAUGCAUUGGCACAUUAAUGUACUUUUUGGCUAAUAAAAUAUAACGUAGUAAAAUAUUUAGCAAAUAUGUACACAUAAAUUAUUUAUAAACAAGUUACUUAAUCUGUGCCAAUUUAUUCAGUGGGGGAAAAAUUCCUUUAUCUUGGUCAUACUGCAGACAACAUGCUUCGCCAUCCCAAAUUAACUGAUUUUUUGGACAUCCAUUAAUCCUGUGUUAUAAAAUGAAACAAUUAUUUUUUAAAUAAUAAAACGUGCAAAAAUUGAUAUUAA